AGAGUUUGAUCCUGGCUCAGAUUGAACGCUGGCGGCAGGCCUAACACAUGCAAGUCGAACGGUAGCACAGAGAGCUUGCUCUCGGGUGACGAGUGGCGGACGGGUGAGUAAUGUCUGGGAAACUGCCCGAUGGAGGGGGAUAACUACUGGAAACGGUAGCUAAUACCGCAUAAUGUCGCAAGACCAAAGAGGGGGACCUUCGGGCCUCUUGCCAUCGGAUGUGCCCAGAUGGGAUUAGCUAGUAGGUGGGGUAACGGCUCACCUAGGCGACGAUCCCUAGCUGGUCUGAGAGGAUGACCAGCCACACUGGAACUGAGACACGGUCCAGACUCCUACGGGAGGCAGCAGUGGGGAAUAUUGCACAAUGGGCGCAAGCCUGAUGCAGCCAUGCCGCGUGUAUGAAGAAGGCCUUCGGGUUGUAAAGUACUUUCAGCGAGGAGGAAGGUGUUGUGGUUAAUAACCGCAGCAAUUGACGUUACUCGCAGAAGAAGCACCGGCUAACUCCGUGCCAGCAGCCGCGGUAAUACGGAGGGUGCAAGCGUUAAUCGGAAUUACUGGGCGUAAAGCGCACGCAGGCGGUCUGUCAAGUCGGAUGUGAAAUCCCCGGGCUCAACCUGGGAACUGCAUCCGAAACUGGCAGGCUAGAGUCUUGUAGAGGGGGGUAGAAUUCCAGGUGUAGCGGUGAAAUGCGUAGAGAUCUGGAGGAAUACCGGUGGCGAAGGCGGCCCCCUGGACAAAGACUGACGCUCAGGUG
rnacentral:rRNA from 1 species